rnacentral:lncRNA from 1 species
CCCGGCAACGGCGCCAAAAUUUGACUCAUCCAAAAACACCUAACGGAUGGACUCGAAUUUAUACGAGGUCGUCCUAGGGUGGUAAGGUGACUCAAGUCGUCUCACAAGGAAGACUUAGCAGGGCUCUAAUCGUAUUGCUCACAAGAAACUUAAAAGAAAUCUAAACACUCUAAUCAGAAGUUUGGGUCUGACACUUUCUCUCCGAUUAACUAAUGCGUAAUUAAAAUAAAGCAUAUAAAGUUAACUAGGCAAAAGAUAUAAAGCCAAUAAGAAUGCAAGAAGGCAAACAAAGCUAGGGUUCUAAACUAGCAAUCUAGAAAGCAAUCAUCAAUUCAACACCAUAAACAACGAUUAUCUAGGCGA